CGUGGGGCUCAAACUCACAAAGAGAGAGAUCAUGACCUGAGCCCAAGUCGGACGCUCAACUGACUGAGCCACCCAGGAGCCCCUAACAUCUUUUUUCUUUUAAACCUCUCGAAAUUCUAUUUGAGUAGUGUUUGCAUCUUCCAGGGAUUCUGUUUCUUUUUAUAGUAAUCUGUCAUCUCUCCUGUCCUCGAUCUUGGUUUUCUAGUUAAGCCGUGUAAUCAUUUAGAGUCAUGUUUACCUGAGAAAGGAAUUUUAUAAUCCAUCUCUGGCAUCUCUGGAGACAGUUCUUCUGUUUUCUUGUUGACUCAUGUCCAGGAUAGCUUCUUACCCUAUGUACUUUGUAAGUUUGGAUUUUGAGCUCACGUUGGGGGUUUUGUCUGUGCGAUACCAUUACCGCAGGCAACGUGAAUUUCCAAACUGGGGAUUUCCUCACGCCCCAGGCAGUGUAAUUUGAACCUGAACCCGUUUGAGGGCAGGGUUGGGGUACCGAGCUACUAAGGAAGAUCAGCCUCUUGCUCUGCUCAAUCCAGGACUUAGACCCUAUCGCCCUUUGCUUCUGUGCCUGACCCUUAUCCAAGGUCCCUCUUUUCUUGACCACAAAGCCCCUGAGGAGGCUGGAAUGUGCGUGUAUGUGCGCACGCAUGCGUGUGCAUGCGUGUGCAUGUGUGUUGGUGCUCAUGCGUGCACGUGUGAGGUGCAGCUCUAACACCUGUUUCCAGCGUAGCCACAGAGAGGCCUUGUUACCUGGUCCAGGUGCCAACAAAACUCUGGCAACCAUUUCGUAAGAUCAGCACAUGCCUCUGAACAGCCCGAGCGUGUGUGUGCGCUUUUCACUCUGGUUUUUAGUUUUGUAUUUCUUUGUUAAUGUGUUUUGUGGACACAUUAGUUUCCUGUGGCUGCUGUAACAAAUUCCCAUUAAGCUUGGCUUCAAACAACAGGAAUUUGUUUCCUCCCUGUUCUGGAGGCCAGAAGGCUGAAGUCAGGAUCACUGGGCUGAAGUCGAGGUGUCACCUUCAGACUCUAGAGGAGAAUCUGUUCCUUGCCUCUUCCAGCCUCCUGCUGCUCUUGGCAUUCCUUGACUCUGGCCUCCUCACUCCAGUAACUGCCCCGUGGUUACAUUGCUCCUUCUCUUCUGUGUGUGUGACCUCUCUCCAUCCUUCUCUUGUAAAGGCACUUGGUGAUUGCAUUUAGAGACCACUUGGAUAAUCAAGAAUAAUCUCUUAUCUCAAGGCCCUUAACUUCAUCAUGCUGCAAAGGCCUCUUUUCCAAAUAAUGUAACAUUUACAAAUUCUAGAGUUCUUUUGGAGGAACCAUACCUAUCACAGGCUUCCCUAACUUGGAGAGCUCAGCUUUGUAUUUAUAAGAAUACCCGUUGUAUUUCCAGAUGUUCUGUGGCAUUUUUUUUGUCCGAGUCUACCAUAUUCCCUGGAAGAGAAAUACACCAAAGAAUCUCAAGGCUGGAGAGAGGAAAGCACAGCCCACUGUAAUAGGCUGCUUCUCAGAGGGCCAGAGGUUGAAGACGUUAAGGCAUAGGUGCUAACUUGUGCCAGGGAGGGGCACUGCUAAAACCCUGUGGUGCAAAAGCCUGGCCUUACCUCCUGCUAACAGGGCCCUGCUGUCUGGAACGGUUGGAGUGGCCCAAGUUCUCCUGGCUCACCUCUUCCUAGGUUUUGGUUUGCUUUGGUCUGUUCCUGAUGUUGCCUCUUGGCUUAUGUAUAUGUGCAGCCGAUCUUGGUUUCUUCUUUCCCUUGACCCAUAGCAUCUUCCAUUCUGGCAACCAGUAAUAGACCUUGAGUCUGUUCCUCUCACCCCCUUUGCUUCAGGGAUGGGGCCACAUGUUUGCCCUGGGGUCUCUCGGGACAUCACUGUGUGCCAGUCGGGCAUCACCAAAGCCACAGUGGGGGCAGGACCAGAACUGACCAUUAUUGUGGAAUAUGACUCCUCUGCAGCUGUUGGUAUUCCAGCCUUAGGAGAGAUGGAAUGCAUUCCUGAAACUUCUUUUGGUGCAAAUCUUCAUUCCCAGGGACCGUCAGACAGACUGACCAAGAAAUUUUGUUGUGCUUCUUGUGACUCUUUGGAAACUGAAACUCACCAGCUUGCGUGAAGGCCACUGACUGCAAAGUGAAACAACCUGUGCCCUUAGGUAGUAUAUGGAGUAGUUAACAGCGGCUUCCUGGCUCCAUGAACUCAUAGAAAAGAAAUACCCUACAUGGGUAGUUUUUGUUCCUCCCUCUCUUGAAGUAGUGGCCCUAUUCUCAGUGGCUGAAACCUGGAAAGUGUUUUUAUAUCUGGAAUUCCCCUCCCCCUGUGAGGUCAUCUCCACCAUGAAAUAGAACUUUCUAGAACCUCAGGGCACACUCUCCCCCCUCCCCCCCCCCCCCCAACUUGCUCCUUCAGGUCCAGAGCUCCACAGAAGGCUCUGGAAAUAUGCUUUGUGUCUCUCCUACCCAUAUAGGCUCAAUUGGCAAUGUUUCUUCACAUUGAGAUCAAGUGACCCCUGGUGAAGGCCCCCAGGAACUGUGCCAGGAGUUUGUCAGGAAACCCGUGGUUACGGGACCGAUGCGCGCCCCAAACGGCGUCACGACAGAGCUGCUGAGGACUUGUCUGAGCUGGAGGAGAACAUGAAACAAACAUGUGCUUUUCAAGACCGAAAAGGGAAAGCACAAGACCACUGCUUGGGACACUUUCUUUUGCAAAGUGAGUUUAUGCUUCUCCGGGUUAUCGUGACCCUUAGAUGAAACCUACUGAUUCAGCACAGCAGGUGGGCACUGUCCUGUCCUAUGAGAUCUCUCUACAGAAGGAAAGAUAGGCACUUGGGUAGAGUUUAGGCGGAAUGCACAUGCAAGGGGACUGAGAAUCCUAGUACCACGUUGAGUUGGGGAUCGGUUGACACGCCAUUUAACUGCACUGGUUAUUUAGCACUAACAGUGAAGAGUGUGUCUGCCAGAUAGAUUACAGUCCGGGCGGCAUCGAAGUGAUUUCAGUUCAUGAGUCUCUAUUUGGGUCGCUCUCCCUCCUAGGAUGCCUGGAAAUAAGAGCCUCCAGAAACCUACAAAAGGCUCUGUGCUGCUUUCAGGGACAGGAGGGUAGGGACGAAGGUCUAGAUCUGCCUCCCUUCCCAGGUGGUGAAGGGGGCGAGCCGAGUCUAGCCUUGGAGGACGGAAGGUUGUGGAUAAGGGGGAACCUGCCUGCAUCUGUCCUACUUCACUCAGGCUUGUCCUUGCACCCUGCUUUAUUGCCCACCUGGUCCCACACCUGCAUUUUCUUCAGAAGAACAACAAAUCGAUACUCGGUACUUGGGCUUAUUCAGGAUGAAAUGUCUUUCUUGGCUUCUUAUGAUUAAAGCCUAGUUUGAAGAUGUA